rnacentral:rRNA from 1 species
GACUGUGUCUAUACCAUCUUGAACACUCAGUCUCAUCUGAGUUUAGAAGUUAACUCAGGGUUGGACUUGGACAGUACUUGGAUAGGAGAAAUUAGAUUUAGUAA